UUUUGACAUUUCGCUCGGAGGCUUCUGGAAGCGGUGGCGCCGCACUGCAGCAUCUGCAGCCACAUCAGUUAUCUGUUCCGCUGCGGUUUGCGGCGAUAAAUGUGCGCCAUCAUGCAACUGACUAACUGCGGACUUUGCAUUGCGUUGCGGCACUGCGGUUCUGUUUCCAGAUCGUGCAACUGUGUUAUCCAAAGAAGUUAUCCUGAACAUAAAAAUAUGGAAAACAAAAUUGUAGUAUAUUUCAAAAGAAAUUUGAGAUUUGUAAACGAAAUGGGAGCUCCUUGGAUAAGAAAAUACAUCAACUUGAAAAGACAUCAAAAUGUAAAAUAUGUUGCUUCUGCGUUUGGAUACCUCGGAAUUAUAUAAACAAGGAAUGUUUUUAAUAAAUAAUGUUUUAAAUAAACAAGUAUUUAAAAAUUGAUGUAACAGUUUUUAGUACAUUCAUUUAAAACAAGCUUGACGUUAUAAUCGAGCUUCUCGGCUAUCAAAUUCCCGCCACUCAGCUGGCGGAAGCGCGAGGG
ensembl:ncRNA lncRNA:CR44334 long non-coding RNA:CR44334